UGGGGAAUAUUGCACAAUGGGCGCAAGCCUGAUGCAGCCAUGCCGCGUGUGUGAAGAAGGCCUUCGGGUUGUAAAGCACUUUCAGCGGGGAGGAAGGCGAUAAGGUUAAUAACCUUGUCGAUUGACGUUACCCGCAGAAGAAGCACCGGCUAACUCCGUGCCAGCAGCUGCGGUAAUACGGAGGGUGCAAGCGUUAAUCGGAAUUACUGGGCGUAAAGCGCACGCAGGCGGUCUGUCAAGUCGGAUGUGAAAUCCCCGGGGUCAACCUGGGAACUGCAUUCGAAACUGGCAGGCUAGAGUCUUGUAGAGGGGGGUAGAAUUCCAGGUGUAGCGGUGAAAUGCGUAGAGAUCUGGAGGAAUACCGGUGGCGAAGGCGGCCCCCUGGACAAAGACUGACGCUCAGGUGCGAAAGCGUGGGGAGCAAACAGG
rnacentral:rRNA from 1 species